AUGGGUAAAGCUCCAUCAAACUGUAAAAGGUUCAGCACAUCCCUCUUGCCCCUCAAACGCUUCAAGAGAAAGCUAUGCAAGUCUCAUUUCCAGUAUUUGAUGGUUUGCUGUUCAUGCAUACCUUCAUGCACUCUGCUUUCUCUCCUCUUUCUUCCUCCACUCCGGUCACCGCUGCACUUCAGCCAGUUUUUAAUAACUGCCUCGCAGUCGCUGGCCGAAAUGUUCUGGCUAGCCGAUGCACCUAAACAGAGAAAGUGUAUUUAUUUAGUUUAUUUAACAUUGAUUUAUUGAGGAGGAAAGAUCCUUUGAGAUUAGUAAUCCGUUUUUCAUGUCCUGGCCAAUAAUACAAUACAAAGUGCAUUACAAGUGUUUAAUGACAAGAUGCAUGCAGUACACUCCAUGGUUAUUCAAAAGAAAUGAAUCCAUUUCAUAAUUCAUAGCUCAAUGAGUGAUUUGUUUACAUACCUCUUACUGCAUUGCACUGUGGGAGGCAAAAGCCAGCUUCUUCCCUCCUCUGCCAAGCCAGUUGAAUUUCAGCGCGAAGUGGUUGGUGAGGAUGCGGCGAAGGAUUCUUCGAACCGCGUCACCAGGAUUGCAGCCCCCAAGCGCACUAAGGUGUGCUGCCUGCAGGUAAGAAUGGAAAGUAAUGUUUUAGAAUAACUUAUUAUGGCUUAUAGUCAGCAUACCGUUCAAAAUGAACAUCUUUGGUAAUGCGAAAAGUUCAUUAAACACCGCACACUGGAUACUGUUCUUUUUUCUCUUUAUUUUUAGGAGCGAACAACGCGUUUCGCCCAAUGCGUCUUCAGGUUCGAACCUGAAAACGCAUUGGGCGAAACGCGUUGUUCGCUACCUAAACAUGGCUAAAUAUCAACUGCACUGAAGUCAUCAUAACUUCAUAAGUUCUCAUUUUCAAAUGAUUAUGAAUACUAUUAUUGUUAUUUGAAGCCGUGUCAGUCUUGACUGUGGGUGGUGUGGUCCUCUGUGUCUGCUAGUGUCUAUAAUACAGUAAUAUUUUUGUCGACA
rnacentral:lncRNA from 1 species